GGUCUCAUGGUGCCGUGGUUAUCACUCUGGACUCUGAAUCCAGCGAUCUGAGUUCAAAUCUCGGUGCGACCU
rnacentral:tRNA from 1 species